AAACUCCUACGGGAGGCAGCAGUGAGGAAUAUUGGUCAAUGGACGAGAGUCUGAACCAGCCAAGUAGCGUGAAGGAUGAAGGUCCUACGGAUUGUAAACUUCUUUUAUAAGGGAAUAAACCCUCCCACGUGUGGGAGCUUGUAUGUACCUUAUGAAUAAGCAUCGGCUAACUCCGUGCCAGCAGCCGCGGUAAUACGGAGGAUGCGAGCGUUAUCCGGAUUUAUUGGGUUUAAAGGGAGCGCAGACGGGUCGUUAAGUCAGCUGUGAAAGUUUGGGGCUCAACCUUAAAAUUGCAGUUGAUACUGGCGUCCUUGAGUGCGGUUGAGGUGUGCGGAAUUCGUGGUGUAGCGGUGAAAUGCUUAGAUAUCACGAAGAACUCCGAUUGCGAAGGCAGCACACUAAUCCGUAACUGACGUUCAUGCUCGAAAGUGUGGGUAUCAAACAGGAUUAGAUACCCUGGUAGUCCACACGGUAAACGAUGGAUACUCGCUGUUGGCGAUAUACUGUCAGCGGCUUAGCGAAAGCGUUAAGUAUCCCACCUGGGGAGUACGCCGGCAACGGUGAAACUCAAAGGAAUUGACGGGGGCCCGCACAAGCGGAGGAACAUGUGGUUUAAUUCGAUGAUACGCGAGGAACCUUACCCGGGCUUGAAUUGCAGAGGAAGGAUUUGGAGACAAUGACGCCCUUCGGGGCCUCUGUGAAGGUGCUGCAUGGUUGUCGUCAGCUCGUGCCGUGAGGUGUCGGCUUAAGUGCCAUAACGAGCGCAACCCUCGCCGCCAGUUACUAACAGUUAAAGCUGAGGACUCUGGCGGGACUGCCAUCGUAAGAUGUGAGGAAGGUGGGGAUGACGUCAAAUCAGCACGGCCCUUACGUCCGGGGCUACACACGUGUUACAAUGG
rnacentral:rRNA from 1 species